GAGCGAUCAUAAGGGAGCUGACUGCAAAUCUGCCGUCAUCGACUUCAAGGUUCGACUCGAGCAAUAGUGAGAGAACGUUGCCGCAGGCAACGGCUCGAAGGGUGAGGAGCUUUAGCUCCGAAUAAUCCUUCCCGCUAUAGAA
rnacentral:sRNA from 6 species